UCUAGCUUGGUUCGGAGAGCACUUGUUGGGUUUAAGAUUUGUUUUUUGCUAAAUGUUACGGCCACUAUCAACAUUAAAAAGACAAAAACCUAGAUGUAUUCCAGUUCCAAUAGAAUGCAUACCAGAAUGGCCAUGGACCCUGGAGUUCUUGCAAGAAAUGUUGAAGAUCACCGUAGGCGCGCCUCGUCGGAAAUCCUGAAAUAAAUCCAGGAAUAAUGCGAGCACAGGACUUGAACCCUAGUGGGCUGGGGAUACCACUGUCCCCUCUAACCAUCCAACCACAGGUUGGUUCGCGGCCACUUUCGCUUUUAUCGAGAAUGUAAAAAAAAUUAACAGUUUCAUGAGGAUGAUUCAAUGGUCAUCAAACCUUGGAUAAUAUCAGUACAUUUAUUUUUGAGAUCUACGCCGUAUCUUUCUUUCUUUUUAUUUGUGUGAGAGAAUCUUGCUUCUUUUUAGAAACACUUUCUAUUUUGCUACUUUUUUUAGACAAAAUUUGUUUUUUUUUUUUGAGAACUUUGUAUUUUGCUUUUUUUUAACAGAACAGACGUAUUUUGCUUUUUUUAGGGAUAGACGUAUUUUGCUUGGAGUCAUCGCUAGUCCCUUGGGCCCCGCCGCUAGGCAGUCUCCCAAUGUAACUGUAACCAGCCCACUCACUCACGCGCGGGCCUUCCCAACGUACUCCGGCCCUGUAGCGUGUCGCCGAUGACAGCAUUUCUGGCCGGGUCCUUCGUCGCCUCCUCUCCCCGCCGGCGCAGCAGCCAGAAGAUCCUCCUCGCCCUCCUCCCCAUAUCUGUCGGCGGCGAGCGAGCCCUCGUCCGCUCCGCUUCGGGAGGGUCGCCGUCGUCCUUCCCCUCGACGGCGACGCGUGCAGCGGCUGACCGCGAGGAGGCGCCCGCUGCUCUCGUACUGAUUUGAUGGAACACCGGUGCCAGUCAAUCGCCAUGAUGAAAAGACGCCACACGACCGUCCUCGAUGACCUGCCCGAGUGGAUUGUCAUCGAAGAGAUCCUCAUCUGGUUGCCCCCCAAGGACCUCUUUCGCUGUCGUGCUGUCUGCAAGUUGUGGCGCAGUGCCACCUCCACCGACAAGUUCAUGCUCGACAAUUGCCACCGCCAGCCAUCGCUCCCUGUCAUCAGACAGGAUAUCCCUGGACACAAAGGAGUCAGGUUCGUUGUCUUCCGUGACAAAAGUGUCGGAGCCGAUCAAAAGCUCUGUCCAAUCAUCCAGCACUCUUAAGUUCCAUAAUCUCCUGGGCGCCUGUGAUGGCUUUCUCAUCUUGUCCAGUGAGUCUGAUUUCUGGAUCUGCAACCCGGCCACUCGCAAAUGUGCUAUACUACCGCAACCUCGAGUUCCAUCAUCAUCAGCAAGGGUUCCCCGCAUCUACAUAGCCGGAUUCUACCAGCACCAACCAUCUGGGGAAUACCGGGUGCUCUGGUUCUCACGUGGCUGCCUUCGUGGCUACGUUCUCAGGUUUGGAUCCGACAAGCCGAGAAUCAUCAGUCAGCCAUCUGUGUCAUCGCGUUUGCCGGAAUUCUGGCACCAAGGGGAAUUUGAUUCCUGCUAUGGUUCACAAGUCAACCACCGCGGCAGCCUGCACUGGUUAACAGGAAACUACAUGGAGACUGCCGUGGACAUUAUGGUGUUUGACACAGUUACUGAGACGUUCCGGUAGAUGCGCAGUCCUGGCCAGUUGGGCCGUCGGGUGUCGUUGUUGGAGAUGGACAAGAAGCUUGCUUCAUGCAUCAACAAUGAUGCCAGCAUAGAGAUUUGGGUGAUGCAAGACUAUGAGGCUGAGGUCUGGGCCUUGAAGUACCGGAUUAACUUGUUGAAUACAUCACCACAGUUCAAGUUUAUUUCUAAGAUGGCACUGCUUAACCAGCAUGAGCUGCUGAUCUGUUGUCACACUCCAUCGGCGGGUCCUGAUUAUCUGUUGCAUUGUGACACUGACGGAAAGUUUUUGGGAUAUUACGAGAUGAAAGAGGGAACAUAUUCAACAUACUUCACAAAUCAGUACUUUCAAGAGAGCAUGAUUCCACUUCCGUUCUGUGAGAUGCAAGAAGAAGGUGGUUUGGAUAAGGAGCCUCCAUUCUUCAUAGGGCUAUAAGCUGGUUUGUAAUUCUAGUUGCCAUGUAUGCCUUUGGAGUAUGCAUCCUUUAUGAGCACAAGGUCCUAGUUCUUACUUUAUAGUACUAGUAGAACUGAACAAUGCAUAUGGCUGUUCUAGCUCUUUCUACCAUCGGGUGCCUUUUGUGCUGUCUUGAGCGUCAUCAUGAUAUGUUGGAGUAUCUAUGCUAUACACCUGUGCUACUUCUUCCCCAUUUACUUUCACUUCUCAAUGUUAA